rnacentral:rRNA from 1 species
AAUGAACGUUGGCGGCGUGGAUUAGGCAUGCAAGUCGAGCGAGAACCGUAGCAAUACGGGGACAGCGGCGAAAGGGAGAGUAAUACGUGGAUACCUACCCUCGGGCUCGGGAUAGCUGCGGGAAACUGCAGGUAAUACCGAAUAACAUCUCCGGAUCAAAGGUGUGAUUCCGCCCGGGGAGGGGUCCGCGUCCUAUUAGCUUGUUGGUGAGGUAACGGCUCACCAAGGCGAAGAUGGGUACGGGGUGUGAGAGCAUGCCCCCGCUCACUGGGACUGAGACACUGCCCAGACACCUACGGGUGGCUGCAGUCGAGAAUCUUCGGCAAUGGGCGCAAGCCUGACCGAGCGACGCCGCGUGCGAGAUGAAGGCCUUCGGGUUGUAAAUCGCUGUCAGUGUGGAGGAAAUGCCAUAGGGUUCUCUCUAUGGUUUGACCUAUCCGCAGAGGAAGGAUGGGCUAAGUUCGUGCCAGCAGCCGCAGUAA